UACGUAGGGGGCAAGCGUUGUCCGGAAUCAUUGGGCGUAAAGCGCGUGUAGGCGGCCCGGUAAGUCCGCCGUGAAAGUCCAGGGCUCAACCCUGGAAUGCCGGUGGAAACUGCCGGGCUGGAGUCCGGAAGAGGCGAGUGGAAUUCCUGGUGUAGCGGUGAAAUGCGCAGAUAUCAGGAGGAACACCAAUGGCGAAGGCAGCUCGCUGGGACGGUACUGACGCUGAGACGCGAAAGCGUGGGGAGCAAACAGG
rnacentral:rRNA from 1 species